rnacentral:other from 1 species
UCAAUCCUGAGAUGUUCGACAGCCUGUUAUUUUGAACCUACACCUUUAAUACGGGAGUCCUAAUUAUCGAAUAUCGCUGAGUAAUGCCAGGCCGCAAGUUAAUUCCCUUUGGGCAGCGGAAGGCAGAGCUUACGGUGCGGACACCCACCUAGCAUUUGCUAGGGAUCAAAAGAUCGGGAACGGCAUCUUGGGAGAGGA